CUCACCCGUGUGAUUAUAUACCACAAAAAUACAAAAAUAACAAACCCCUAACAACCCCUCCAAUAAGAUGAAGCCACCUCACAUUAUUCUAAUCCUAUCUUAACAACCUACCCCUACCCCACCCCCACCUCACGUGACCUCCCUUUACCUAGCUUUCUUUAUACAUUUUACCAAUUGGAGAUAGAAAAGGGGGGUGGAUUGAUUUUUCAAGAAGGGACUAGUACACUCAUCCUAACAAAAAUUACACUCAGCAAAAAACAAAAAAAUACGCACAUCAGACCUCCAUUUAUCCCAUAUACACAUGCACACUAUAAUACUCCUAAAAAUUGGAUCACCCCUCAUCUCACCGAAAAACCCACGACUCAUCGGAAACCAUGAAACACACUUAGAUCGAGAGGGGUGGAGGAGAAAGCAGAGAGAGAGAACUCAGGCGAGACACGCUUGAAACCAGCCGAUUCAUCCACCUCCGGAGCAACAACAACCCAACAACAACCAAAAAACUACCCAACAACCAAACCCCACUGAAUCAUCACCGAAAAAUAAAUCAUCUUAUCAGCCAAUAAAGAGGAAUCGAGAGCUUCGAGUUGGUCAAUUGGGUGUUCGUGUUCGGGAUGGUAUUCAAGGUUUGAUGGGGAUAUUGGGUUAAAGCAUAUAGAGAGACUAAAAUUGAGAGAGAUAUUGGGUUGAAGAAUAUCGAGAGAGUGAAAUUGAGAGAGUAAGUAACAGAAAUGGAGAGAAAAAUUUAAAAAAAAAGGUGAGCAAAGGUCUAGCUGGUGUCGAGUUUUUCCGGUGACUAUUUCGCCAAAAUCCAUACUACACAUUGGAUUAAGCACUGUCGACUCAUGAUUCGCCUCUCUCAUCGCCAAAGACCAGAACCAGCAACUAAAACUAGCCAAGAUCGGUCCUUUUGGGUAGACUCGGGCGAUGUUUAAUUUGGCUCAGGCGAGAUGUCGCAAUUUUGAAUGCGAAUUUCUUGGUUUUCGUAAACCUAGUCACGGUUGACUAGAAAUUUCUUCUCUUGAAUCUGUUUAGAUCGCGAUUAUUGGCUACCGAAUUAGACGGGUUCAUCGUUGAGGCUCGAGUUGAAGUUAUCGGAAGCGGGUUUUCUUUAUUUUAUUGAGUAAUCAUCUUCAAAGGCCCCCCAAAUUAAGGAGCUCGCCUGAAGAACGGGGCGAAUAAAAUGAAAGCCAAGAAACAAAGUGAAGAAAUUGAAAGACAACAUAUGGAAAUAGCAAGUUAGGAGCCCGCCUGAAGAACAGGGUGAUGAAACUGCAAGUCAGGAGCCUGCCUGAAAAAUAGGGUGAUGAAAUGGCAAGUCAGGAGACCGCCUGAAGAACAGGGUAAAUAAAUGAAAAGUCAAGCAACAUGGGGAAGAAAUUGAAAACCAAGCAACAAGUUGGGGAAGUAGAGAGUCAAGAGUCAAGAAAAGCUGCAUAGAUAGAGUUUUUGUAAUUUCAUUUAUGUUUUUAACUUGUAACUUUCAUUUUUGAUGUAAUAACAGAGCCGCGGACCGAAACCUCAACGCAACCUCACUCGACUCUCCAACUCAGUUGUCCUUUUUUCUUUUGUUUCUUUCGUUGAAUAAUGGUCGGGUCAAAAUUCUAUAUCGUUGUCUACUUCUUUGUAUGAAAACACUUUGUGUUUACAUACAAAGAGGGGCAUGAUGUAGACACGUAAUUUUGUCCCUCCCCGAAAGCAUUCUCACUAUUUUACCCUCUUCUUAGUGCGUGCCCUCACACAUGUGAUUAUAUCCCACAAAAAUACAAAAAUAACAAACCCCUAACAACCCCUCUAAUAAGAUGAAGCCACCUCACAUUAUUCUAAUCCUAUCUUGACAACCUACCCCUACCCCACCCCGCCUCACAUGACCUCCCUUUACCUAGCUUUCUUUAUACAUUUUGCCAAUUGGAGAUAGAAAAGGGGGGUGAAUUGAUUUUUCAAGAAGGGACUAGUACACUCAUCCUCACAAAAUAUACACUCAGGAAAAAAUAAAAAAAUAUGCACAUCAGACCUUCAUUUCUCCUAUAUACACACGCACACUGUGAUACUCCCAAAAAUUGGAUCACCCCUCAUCUCACCGAAAAACCCAUGACACACCAGAAACCAUGAAACACACUUAGAUCGAGAGGGGUGGAGGAGAAAGCAGAGGGAGCAAACUCAGGCGAGACACGCCUGAAACUAGCAGAUUCGUCCACCUCCGGAGCAACAACAACCCAACAACAACCAAAGAACUACCCAAUGACCAAAUACAACUGAAUCAUCACCGAAAAUAAAUCAUCUUAUCAGCCAAUAAAGGGGAAUCGAGAGCUUUGAGUUAGUCAUUUGGGUGUUCAUGUUUAGGAUGGUGUUCAAGGUUUGAUGGGGAUAUUGGGUUAAAGCAUAUAGAGAGAGUGAAAUCGAGAGAGUAAGUAAUAGAAACAGAGAGAAAAUUUGAAAAAAAAGAGGUAAGUGAAGGUCUAGCUGGUGUCGAGUUUUUCCAGCGACUAUUUCGCCGAAAUCCAUACUACACGUCGGAUUAAGCACUGUCGACUCAUGAUUCGCCUCUCUCGUUGCCAAAGACCAGAACCAGCAACUAAAACUAGCCGAGAUCAGUCCUUUUGGGUAGACUCGGGCGACGUUUAAGUUGGCUCAGGCGAGAUGUCGCGAUUUCGAAUGCGAAUUUCUUGGUUUUUGUAAACUUAGUCUCGGUUGACUAGAAGUUUCUUAUCUUGAAUCUAUUCAAAUCGCGAUUAUUGGCUAUUAAGUUGGACGGGUUCGUCGUUGAGGCUCGAGUUAAAGUUAUCGAAAGGGUGGUUUCUUUAUUUUAUUGAGUAAUCAUCUUCAAAGGCCCCCCAAAUUGAGGUCCAAUUUUAUCUCUCUCUUUAUAAUUUCAUGAUCUCUAAGUAAAUGACGGUGUGAAUUGUUGUUUGUGUUGAUUUGAUAGUUGGUUUUUGUGAUCAUGGAUUGCGUGAUGAAAUUAUGUCUUGUUUGAGAAUGGAAUUGGGGGAAUUGAUAAUCUAAUAAGUUGAAGGUUGUUAAUUUUGAUUC